AUUGAACGCUGGCGGCAGGCCUAACACAUGCAAGUCGAGCGGCAGCGGAAAGUAGCUUGCUACUUUGCCGGCGAGCGGCGGACGGGUGAGUAAUGUCUGGGAAACUGCCUGAUGGAGGGGGAUAACUACUGGAAGCGGUAGCUAAUACCGCAUAACGUCGCAAGACCAAAGAGGGGGACCUUCGGGCCUCUUGCCAUCAGAUGUGCCCAGAUGGGAUUAGCUAGUAGGUGGGGUAACGGCUCACCUAGGCGACGAUCCCUAGCUGGUCUGAGAGGAUGACCAGACACACUGGAACUGAGACACGGUCCAGACGCCUACGGGAGGCAGCAGUGGGGAAUAUUGCACAAUGGGCGCAAGCCUGAUGCAGCCAUGCCGCGUGUAUGAAGAAGGCCUUCGGGUUGUAAAGUACUUUCAGCGGGGAGGAAGGUGUUGAGGUUAAUAACCUCAGCAAUUGACGUUACCCGCAGAAGAAGCACCGGCUAACUCCGUGCCAGCAGCCGCCGCAG
rnacentral:rRNA from 1 species